rnacentral:lncRNA from 1 species
GUUUUGCAAUUAUAAACUUAGAGGCUAUUUUGUUUUCAAACCACAUGUAGAUUUUGUGUCAUGUCGAAAACUGAAAUUUAAAUUACAAAAAAGUAAAUACUUCUGAAAAAAACGUUUGGAAGUAAAUGGAACAAGAGUAGCAAAUGUUGAAAAUUGAAGCUACAUGAAAGGUACAUGGAGUUCAUUAUACUGUCUUCUUUUGUGUAUUUGAACUUUUCCAUAAUAAAAUAUUAAAACAGGCCAGGCACAGUGGCUUUUGCCUGUAAUCCCAGCACUUUGGGAGGCCAAGGUGGGCGGAUCACCUAAAGUCAAGAGUUCAAGACCAGCCCGGCCAACAUGGUGAAACUCCGUCUCUACUAAAUACAAAAAAUUAGCCAGGUCCUAUUGGUCUUGGCUCUGAGAUACCAAACCAAAAUUAAACAUGAACCAAAGUCUCUGGCCCCCACCCCAUAAAAUGUAGGUAACACAUUUUCCUAUAAGUGCAGAGUCACCGAGGUAGAGCAUGACCUA